GCCAGCAGCCAUAUCACCCUGCAACUCACAACUGGCAGCCCACUGAAGCUAAGCAGAUGUGAGCCUGGUCAGUACCUGGAUGGAGACCUCCUGGAAAAAACUAAGGUUGCUGCUGGAA
rnacentral:rRNA from 1 species